rnacentral:rRNA from 1 species
CCUACGGGUGGCAGCAGUGAGGAAUAUUGGUCAAUGGACGGAAGUCUGAUGCAGCCAUGCCGCGUGCAGGAAGACGGCUUUCUGAGUUGUAAACUGUUUUUGUACAAGGGAAAACCUGAAUACGUGUAUUCAGCUGACAGUCCUGUACGAAUAAGGAUCGGCUAACUCCGUGCCAGCAGCCGCGGUAAUACGGAGGAGCCAAGCGUUAUCCGGAUUUAUUGGGGUUAAAGGGUGCGUAGGCGGAUUGAUAAGUUAGAGGUGAAAUGUCCGAGCUUAACUCGGGAACUGCCUCUAAUACUGUUUAUCUAGAGAGUAGGAGCGGUAGGCGGAAUGUAUGGUGUAGCGGUGAAAUGCUUAGAGAUCAUACAGAACACCGAUUGCGAAGGCAGCUUAC